rnacentral:rRNA from 1 species
AUGGGAUGAGCUGUGGAUCGGAGUGAAAGGCUAAUCAAGCACGGAGAUAGCUGGUUCUCCCCGAAAACUAUUUAGGUAGUGCCUCGUGUAUAACUCAUUGGGGUAAAGCACUGUUUCGACAAUGGGGGUUUUACGACCUUACUGACUCGAUGCAAACUCAGAAUACGAUGAAGUUCGAUCACGGGAGACACACUGCGGGUGCUAAGGUCCGCAGUGGAAAGGGAAACAGCCCAGACCGCCAACUAAGGUCCCAAAGUCAUAGCUAAGUGGGAAACGAAGUGGGAAGGCCCAGACAGCCAGGAGGUUGGCUUAGAAGCAGCCACCCUUUAAAGAAAGCGUAAUAGCUCACUGGUCGAGUCGGCCUGCACGUAAGAUUUAACGGGGCUAAGCUAUGCACUGAAGUUGCGGAAUAUAUUUAGUAUAUUGGUAGGGGAGCGUUCUGUAAGCCGAUGAAGGUGAAUUGAGAAGUUUGCUGGAGGUAUCAGAAGUGCGAAUGCUGACAUGAGUAACGUAAAAUAAGUGAGAUUCUUAUUGGCCGAAAACCCAAGGGUUCCUACGCAAUGUUAAUCAACGUAGGGUAAGCCGGCCCCUAAGGCGUAGCUGAAGAGUGAAGUCGAUGGGAAACAGGUUAAUAUUCCUGUGCUGCUUAUAUGAACGAAGGAGGGACGGAGAAGGUUAGGUAGGCCUGGCGAAUGGUUGUCCAGGUGAAAGUAUGUAGGUAGGAAUGCUAGGCAAAUCCGGUGUUCUGUUGAUCUGAGAUACGAGACGAAGUUAAACUUGUUUGACGAAGCUAUUGAUACCAUGCUUCCAGGAAAAGCUUCUAAGUAUAUUGUAUAAGUGACCGUACUGUAAACCGACACUGGUGGGUAGGUAGAGAAUACUAAGGCUAUGAGAUAACUCUGGUGAAGGAACUAGGCAAAAUGACACCGUAACUUUGGAAGAAGGUGUGCCCUUGAUGGUGAUGAGACUUGCUCUUUGAGCUGUUGGGGGUUGCAGAUACCAGGUGGCUGCGACUGUUUAUCAAAAACACAGCACUCUGCGAAAUCGUAAGAUGAAGUAUAGGGUGUGACGCCUGCCCGGUGCUGGAAGGUUAAUUGAAGGGGUUAGCGCAAGCGAAGCUCUGGAUCGAAGCCCCAGUAAACGGCGGCCGUAACUAUAACGGUCCUAAGGUAGCGAAAUUCCUUGUCGGGUAAGUUCCGACCUGCACGAAUGGCGUAACGAUGGCCACACUGUCUCCACCAGAGACUCAGUGAAAUUGAAAUCGCUGUGAAGAUGCAGUGUACCCGCGGUUAGACGGAAAGACCCCGUGAACCUUUACUAUAGCUUUGCACUGGACUUUGAAUAUUUAUGUGUAGGAUAGGUGGGAGACCAUGAAGCAGCUACGCCAGUAGUUGUGGAGUCGUCCUUGAAAUACCACCCUUGAAUAUUUGAAGUUCUAACUCAGGAGAGAUUCGAGGACAGUGUAUGGUGGGUAGUUUGACUGGGGCGGUCUCCUCCUAAAGAGUAACGGAGGAGUACGAAGGUGCACUCGGUACGGUCGGAAAUCGUGCCAAGAGUAUAAAGGCAAAAGUGCGCUUGACUGCGAGAGUGACGGCUCGAGCAGGUACGAAAGUAGGUCUUAGUGAUCCGGUGGUCCCGAAUGGAAGGGUCAUCGCUCAACGGAUAAAAGGUACUCCGGGGAUAACAGGCUAAUUCCUCCCAAGAGUUCAUAUCGACGGAGGAGUUUGGCACCUCGAUGUCGGCUCAUCACAUCCUGGGGCUGAAGUAGGUCCCAAGGGUAUGGCUGUUCGCCAUUUAAAGUGGUACGCGAGCUGGGUUCAGAACGUCGUGAGACAGUUCGGUCCCUAUCUGCCGUGGGCGUUAGAGAUUUGAGAAGAGUUGCUCCUAGUACGAGAGGACCGGAGUGAACGAACCACUGGCGUUCCGGUUGUUUCGCCAGAAGCAUUGCCGGGUAGCUACGUUUGGACGGGAUAAACGCUGAAAGCAUCUAAGCGUGAAGCCUCCUUCAAGAUUAGAUCUCUCUGAUGAAAAUCAGUAAGGAACGUUGGAGACUACGACGUUGAUAGGCUGGGUGUGGAAGUACAGCAAUGUAUGAAGCUUACCAGUACUAAUGAUCCGAGAGACUUAAGUCUAU